rnacentral:rRNA from 1 species
AGAGUUUGAUCCUGGCUCAGAACGUACGCUGGCGGCACGCCUAACACAUGCAAGUCGAGCGAGGUAGCAAUACCUAGCGGCAGACGGGUGCGUAACAUGUGGGAAUCUGCCUUUUGGUUCGGAACAACACGGGGAAACCUGUGCUAAUACCGGAUAAGUCCUUACGGAGAAAGUUUUAAUGCCAAAAGAUGAGCCCGCAUUUGAUUAGCUAGUUGGUGAGGUAAAAGCUCACCAAGGCGAUAAUCAAUAGCUGAUUUGAGAGGAUGAUCAGCCACACUGGGACUGAGAUACGGCCCAGACUCCUACGGGAGGCAGCAGUGGGGAAUCUUGCACAAUGGGCGAAAGCCUGAUGCAGCGAUGCCGCGUGAGUGAAGAAGGCCUUUGGGUUGUAAAGCUCUUUUGUCGGGAAAGAUAAUGACUGUACCCGAAGAAUAAGGUCCGGCUAACUUCGUGCCAGCAGCCGCGGUAAUACGAAGGGACCUAGCGUAGUUCGGAAUUACUGGGCGUAAAGAGUAUGUAGGCGGCUAGAUAAGUUAAUUGUGAAAGCCCAAAGCUUAACUUUGGAAUUGCAAUUAAAACUAUUUAGCUGGAGUAUGAUAGAGGAAAGCGGAAUACAUAGUGUAGAGGUGAAAUUCGUAGAUAUUAUGUAGAACACCAGUUGCGAAGGCGGCUUUCUGGAUCAUUACUGACGCUGAGAUACGAAAGUAUGGGUAGCGAAGAGGAUUAGAUACCCUCGUAGUCCAUACCAUAAACGAUGAUUAUUAGAUGUGGGGAAUUAUUUCUCUGUAUCAUAGCUAACGCGUUAAAUAAUCCGCCUGGGGAGUACGACCGCA